rnacentral:rRNA from 1 species
CAGCAGCCGCGGUAAUACAGAGGGUGCAAGCGUUAAUCGGAAUUACUUGGCGUAAAGCGCGCGUAGGUGGUUUGUUAAGUUGGAUGUGAAAUCCCCGGGCUCAACCUGGGAACUGCAUCCAAAACUGGCAAGCUAGAGUAUGGUAGAGGGUGGUGGAAUUUCCUGUGUAGCGGUGAAAUGCGUAGAUAUAGGAAGGAACACCAGUGGCGAAGGCGACCACCUGGACUGAUACUGACACUGAGGUGCGAAAGCGUGGGGAGCAAACAGGAUUAGAGACCCCUGUAGUCCCUGUCUCUUAUAC